rnacentral:misc_RNA from 1 species
CAUCACACCACUCUUCUGAGGCAGACGACACUGUAGCAGACGACAAUGCAGUUUAGAAUCUUCGUUUUAGUGUUUGCCACGUUGGUAUGUGUAGCAGAAGGCAGAUUGUUUGCUUUCCGGCAAAGGACUACAGAACCGAUCCUACCUUCCCCUGCAGAGCCGAGUACAGAAGAACAUGAAGGUCCCGAAAUGCCUUUUCCUACCAGUAUGCCUUCAGGUCCCAGAUUCCCAGAUGAAAGUGACAGUGAAGACUGGCCAUACGCUAUGAUGGAAUUUUCAAGCGUGGUUGGAAGGUGUUUGACUGCUAAAUUCAUGCAGAAGAUGAUGCGCAACAAAGCUUCGGAAGGAAUUCUUGCAGAAGCCUGCCCUCGUGUUUUCCACAUAGCCAAGCUUUAUGCCGCGGAUGAUGAAACUAAAGAAAAGGCAAGAGGAAUAUACUAGAAAAGUGUAUCAUCUUUUGCAGUGUGUGAAUCUACAGGCUGAACGAGAAAAGAUAGAAGCUUUGAGAAAUUUUCGCAGCCCUUACAAAUCACCGAUAAAGGGAAACAUGCCAGGAAACAAGCCAGAGCCAGGAAACAAGCCAGGGCCAGGAAACAAUCCAGGAAACAAGCCAGACAAUGUCUUCUUUGAAGAGGCCGACUAUCUAUUUGAGAUGUGUGAGCGGGUUUUUGAUGACGCGGAGAAAAUCCCUGGAAGAUUGGGAAGCGAGAUUGGGCAAAGAAAUGGAAAGCGACGAGGAUUCAGUAGAAAACGUUCUACGUAAGGUUUAUCCAUACCUUGUGGAAAGGCAUUGAUAAAGGAGCAAGGAGCGAAGAUGGAUGGAUUAAUAGUCUGAAAUGUUGUUAGUGCCUUUUGUUAGUCAAUCUAAUUUGUUUAUUACUGUGAAUAGUUAUGCCUGUUAUAAAAUAUAAAUUAAGUUAGAAGAUAA